AAGUCGUAACAAGGUUUCCGUAGGUGAACCUGCGGAAGGAUCAUUACAGAGUUCAUGCCCGAAAGGGUAGACCUCCCACCCUUGUGUAUUAUUACUUUGUUGCUUUGGCGAGCUGCCUUCGGGCCUUGUAUGCUCGCCAGAGAAUACCAAAACUCUUUUUAUUAAUGUCGUCUGAGUACUAUAUAAUAGUUAAAACUUUCAACAAGGGAUCUCUUGGUUCUGGCAUCGAUGAAGAACGCAGCGAAAUGCGAUAAGUAACGUGAAUUGCAGAAUUCAGUGAAUCAUCGAAUCUUUGAACGCACAUUGCGCCCCUUGGUAUUCCGGGGGGCAUACCUGUUCGAGCGUCAUUUCAACCCUCAAGCUUAGCUUGGUAUCGAGUCUAUGUCAGUAAUGGCAGGCUCUAAAAUCAGUGGCGGCGCCGCUGGGUCCUGAACGUAGUAAUAUCUCUCGUUACAGGUUCUCGGUGUGCUUCUGCCAAAACCCAAAUUUUUCUAUGGUUGACCUCGGAUCAGGUAGGGAUACCCGCUGAACUUAA
rnacentral:rRNA from 1 species